GAAAGCGAAAGGGGAGAGGCCAUGCAGCGUUGCUUAAUCAGGGAAAUCUGUAUCUUGUGAGCUCAUACCCAGAUAAGUUCUAGAGGAGGAACUGGGCUGGGGUAGAGAGACACAGGGAGGUGAUGGUGCUCUGCGUGCCUUCACCACGCACCUGGCAGUCCCUCCUGGGCAGGGCAAAGCCACCAGAACUGAACGUUUAUGGGCUGAUCCCUGCAGGAACCGUUCACCCCAGCAGAAAGUCCCUUUGCUGAGGUCACGGCACUCCCCUUGAGGAGCCGGCAGCAGCUGAGGGUUGCUUCUUUUUGCUGGUGUGAUUUACAUCCAUAGGAGCUGCCCCUGGAAGGUUUUUCAAUGUAAAGAAGAAUAGAGGGAGGGCUGAAAACGGAGGUGAACCCAGGGGAUGUGGGGGAGCAGCUGAGGGUAAUGAUGAGUGCUGAUGGGGAUGGGAUGGGGAGGGCAUUUCUGGCACAUUGGGAGCAGCUGCUGGGGGCUGGCAGUGCUCCCCUGCCCUGAGACCUGCAGCAGCACGGUGCUGAAGUAGCUGUGGUUCCUGAGGUCUGUGUGGUCCAGGCUCACUCUGUAGGAGAGAGGGGGAGAAAUCAGCUGCUCCUCGAGGAGAUCCGUCUCCAUCGCUCGUCCGGCUGCAUCCCUUCAUAAAUCUUCCCCAAAAAAACAUCAGCACCUUCUCAGGCUGCCAUCUGUUUAUUUGGUUGGACUUGGAACUUGCUGAAAUGUCUUUCGAUGGAUGAAGCAACGGAGAGUAGAAGAACAGAGCCUGGCAGGCUGCUUGCUGUGCCAGGGAACCACCAAGCUUCCUGGUACCCCGUGUUGGCUGAGAGGCAAUGAGGUUAAGGAAAGCAUAACUGCCAUCAGGAAUUCUUGUAAAGCGGUGCCCGUUGUGAGGCCACCAUUUGGAGUUUUUGGAGACCCUUCCCUUGCCCGUGGGCAUCUUGGGCUGAGCGUUUUGGAAUGAAGCUGCUCUCUCUGAUGGCACAGAGGGCAAAACAAAACAGAUCAUUUCCUCGGUUUAAUGUGAGCCAAUUAUGGCUCAUGGGCUGUUAACUUCAUCACCGCUCCUUCCAAGAAAGACGUUGGGUAAAAUGAACCAGCGCGGCUCCGCAUGCGCCCGGCGCAGCCUCAGCCCCGGCCAUUUAUCCCCACGGAUGGAAAAAAGCUAAAGCCUACGUCGCACAAAUGCCCUCUAAAGUAUCCAACCACUUGUUGUACAUCUGCUGACGGAUACCAACUGGAAAGGAGAUUAGCGCUCAGACUCCCGCGCUGGGCUGUCUGCUCUUCCUAAUGAGGACCAGAUUGCAGCCUACGCCAGCGCUGCACCUCCAGCGGAUGGCGGGGUGGGGAGGUGCCAGGGCGCGUGCCAGCAGUGUGGGACUGUGUGGGCUGCAGGACAGGGCUGGGUGCUGCUGGGACACGCAGUGGGGCCGGGGGUGGCAUGGGGUGCUGGGGAUGCACUGAGGGGUAUGGGAGCUCUGCUUGGUGCUUUGCACGUUCACCCCAAUUUGGGUGCGAUGGCAUUUCCAGAGGAACCAUUGCAUCCCUCCAAUCUGAGCACUGCCAGCUUGGGGCCAGCACUCAGCCGGGGUGAUAUCCCACAGCAGCACCACAUGGGAUGCGUUAUCUCCCAUCCCGCGUGCUAUCUCACACCCUUCUUUACCUCAGGAAUUAAAGCACUUUGUGACACUAAAAGCAAUGGGGGCCGUGCCCUGGGCUGUCCCCAGCUGUCCCACGUCCCAAACCACCUCCAUCCACUGGGGGCUGUGGGCAGCACAGCACUGUGCCCGCCGCCGGGUGCUGCUCGGCCGUCUCCUGAAGUGCUCCGUCUGCUGGCUGGGGGCCAGUGCAGGAAUGCUAACGUUUUUCUGUGCCUAAUUUGGGGCUGUGGGCAGGCGCUGGCGCUUAUUUCAUUUUAUGUUUCUUUUGGUUGAUGGUUGAAUUGAAAAUGAAGAUGUGCUGGGACCUAAUCCCAAAUCAAAAUGCCAGCGUGCUCCCCUGGGGUGAAGCUGUGAGGUGGGCAGCAUCUGUCCCUAUCCCAGGGCUGGGGAAAGCCAGGCAUGGUGCUUCCCACCUGUAGUGGGCUGGGAGGGCUCAUAAAGGACUGGCCGCCCUGGCCAUGAGGUUUUCUUAUUUCCUCCUCUUCUUUUUUGGGGGGGAGGGGGGGGAUUCUUUCAGAUUUGGGGCUUUGGGUUUUUUUAGUAGUGGCUGGAGAUGGGCUCUGUGGUGCGUGGGGAAGUAGAAAGGGAAGAUCACAGAAUCAUGAAGGCUGGAAAAGGCCUCUCAGAUCCCCAGCCCACCCCACUGUGCCCUCUGACACAUCCCACAGUGCCACAUCUCUAUGGCUCUGAAGGACCUCUGGGACAGUGCUCCCAGCACUCCCUGGACAGCUGUGCAGUGCAGCACCGCUCCUUCUGAGCAGAAAUUUCUCCUGCUGUCCAACCUGAACCUCCCUUGGACAUCUUGUCUUCAAAUGAUGAGCUGGGAUCCUCAUGUCAGGGGGGCUGCGUCCUCAGAGCAGGGGAUAGGAGCUUUCUGUGAGCCUGCUUCACAGGAAGCUUUUAACCCCAAUGAUCCUUAAUGGGUCCCUUCUAACUUGGGAUGCUCAAUGAUUCUAUGAACCCCUUUGUCCUCUCAGAAAAUCUCCUGGAUGGAAUCUGGAGAUCUGAAGACAUAUUUCUGCUCUCCUGGCCACCUAUGAACAGGAUGAUGGCGUUACAGCUGCCUGCGCAUCCUUGGGUGGAUCUUCAGUGUUCCUGAGCAGAUUUCACCUGUACUAUUGGUGGCUGCAGCUGAUGACGUGGUGCAGGAACACAGUGGCCUCAUCCCUGUCUCCUGGUGCUGGUAGAUCUCCCCACACCAACCCCAAAUCUCAGCCAGCUUUGAGCAGCGUUCACUCUCCUUCACCCUGCAGCGCCCACUGUGAAAUCAGCCCUGAGCGGGGUUUGCUGGCACUGUUAUCACCUCAGUGUCACCCAUCAGGACAGCAGAUCCGAUGUGUUUGGGACACAGGACAGCCGUGCUGGACAGCAUGUUUUCCCAUGGGUGUUUCGCUGCGUUUCCCAAGCUGAGGUGGGCACAGAGAGCCGCGUGGUGCUCGGUGGGGAUUUGCAGGAGCCCUGGGGCUGAACUCAGGGAACUGCUGCAGGGGGAGCAGGGGUGAUGUUGCAGCCCCAUGGCACCGGGAUGUGGGUUUGACAGCUCUGCACUGCCCUGCACACGGGUCCUACCCGGCCCCUCCCCGCCUCCGGCACGCGAGCUGUGGGCUUUGCUGCUUGGAAAAAAAAUAUCCCUCCGCUCCUCUUUCUUUCCUUUUUCCUUUUGGUUAAAGAUCAGCUCGACUUUUAAUGGGAGACAGAAGAAUUUUUUAAAGGGGGGAGGUGGGAACCCAACCAGGAGUGAGUUUCACUGCCCAGAGCCUCGCAGCCGUGUUUAUUUUCAGUGGGGCCAGGGGCAGAGAACCCAGGGGGGGACGGAGGGGUGCCGUGGGCACGGCUCAAUCCCAUCCCCCAGCGCUGUGCCACCCUUCCCCAUCACUCCACGUUCCCAAAGCACCUCUUUCUCCUCCAUGUUUCACUUGCCGGGCUGUUGGCAUCGCUCUCGCUAUGUGUUACAGAUGGGGAUGGAUGGCGAUGGGGACGCGGCUGCGUGCGCCCGGCGCAGACACAGCGAGAUUUGUGUGUGUGUAAUGUAUGUGUUCCCCU